AAACCAACAGGGAUUGCCUUAGUAACGGCGAGUGAAGCGGCAACAGCUCAAAUUUGAAAUCUGGCUUCGGCCCGAGUUGUAAUUUGCAGAGGAUGUUUAUGGUGCAGUACCUACCGAGUUCCCUGGAACGGGACGCCACAGAGGGUGAGAGCCCCGUCUGGUUGGAUACUAAACCUGUGUUAAACUCCUUCAACGAGUCGAGUAGUUUGGGAAUGCUGCUCUAAAUGGGAGGUAAAUCUCUUCUAAAGCUAAAUACCGGCCAGAGACCGAUAGCGCACAAGUAGAGUGAUCGAAAGAUGAAAAGCACCUUGAAAAGGGGGUUAAACAGUACGUGAAAUUGUUGAAAGGGAAGCGAUUAUGACCAGACUUGUGCCGUGUGGCUCAUCCGAGGUUCUCCCCGGUGCACUCCACACGGCUCAGGCCAACAUCGGUUUUCGUUGGGGGAUAAGAAUAGUAGGAACGUAGCUUUCUUCGGAGAGUGUUAUAGCCUAUUAUACGAUACCCUGACGGGGACCGAGGACCGCGCUUCGGCUAGGAUGUUGGCGUAAUGGUCAUUACCGAC
rnacentral:rRNA from 1 species